rfam:Arabis alpina cultivar Pajares Aa.chr1_contig_426, whole genome shotgun sequence.
CGCUGCGAUUAUACCAACACUAAGCACCGGAUCCCAUCAGAACUCCGCAGUUAAGCGUGCUUGGGCGAGAAUAGUAUUAGGUUGGGUGACCUCUAUAGUAAAAAAUUCCUUAUUUGAUUUA